ensembl:lncRNA
AGACCGUUUUCCAGCGAGCGGUUACAGACUUGGGGUAAGUGUGGAUAUGUGUUUGGCGGGAGUUUAUACACAAGAAAGCCCCUACUUGGCUCAUGUCUUGUUCUGAGUUCGUUCACAGUGAGGAUAAUAUUGUAGAGGUGCGGGAAAGUUGUGUGCUUCCCAUUUAUUGUAUAAUCUUCAGUAAAUUUUAAGUAAUGUCUUAUCCCUGUAAACUGGGUGUUGUGAUGCGCUUUGGUGUAAACCAGCAAUUUUCAUGAAGUGACUUAGUGUGGUGUGCUAGUGGUGUAGCUGUAGUUUCUCUCUUAAAGGCUUAAAAUCUGAAAUUUUGGGCAAUUUUAUCUGCUGAAGCAGACAAAAGCCACUUCCACGUGUGGUGAAAUUAGACUCAUAAUAGAUAACUUCCAGCUCAGUGGAUUUUAAAGCAUUUACAAAACUUUUUUUUUUUUUUUUUUUGUGCUGCUAGAGAUACAGCAGUGAAAUCACAGUACUCUGGGAUAGCACACUUGUGCAAAGAGUUACCCUGUCUUUGGAACUGCAGGGAAAACAGGGGCAGAAAGUAAUCACCUACACUAGAAUUUGAUCAUGUGCUAAGUGACUGUUCUUUGUUCUGAAAAAAAAUAGCUGAAUUCUUACUGAAAUUGUGUGGUUAGGCUGUCACUUUGAUAUUAAUCAUUGAAGGGUAUCGCACUAUCCCUGCUGUUAAGAUGUAGCAUUGGAUAGGUGAUGAUUCAGAAGAUAACCAGAUACCUACCGUGAAUCAAUAUGUACACUUUCUCCUUGGAUCUGUUCCAUAUAAACAUGUUAAAGACUUGUAAAGUCUAAUAGAAGAGGUUUAAGCAGAUGGUAUAGCUGCAGGCUUAUGAAAGAUUUUUUUGGUUGGUUGGUUAGGUUUUUUUGGUUUUGUUUUUCCCCAAAACCAUAAAAUGGUUUGGGUUAGAAAGGAUCUUAAGAUCAUCUAGUUCCAACCUCCUGCCAUGGGCAGGGACACCUCACACUAGACCGUGUCACCCAGUGCUCUGUCCAACCUGGCACUGGAACACUGCCAGGGAUGGAGCAUUUACACUUCUUUGGGCAACCUGAAUAAAUGGUUGAGUGAAUGAUGUACCAGUUUAACACAGCCACUACUUAAGCGACCAAUAUACUCUCUUGUUCACUUCUCCACUUAUUCCUUAAUUUAUCAAAAUUUUAUAUGCUUAUUAUACAGUUUCCAUAUUUUUGUAGGCAGUGUUUAUGAGUUGUAUGCAAGUGUUUUCAUUCUUUCCCGGUUUCAAAGCUAAAGUACAACAUUGUCUUCAUUGGUAAGUUCUCAUGUAAACUGAAACUGUAAACAAAUAUAAUGUAAAACAUAGAGCAUACCAGUAAAGUUAGAUGUGAUUGGGAAGAGAUGGUCCUAUAUGUUUCAAUUUAGAGAGUGUUUCUUAUAAAUCUCUGGUUUGGACAUGUUAAUCUUGAUAUGCUUUCAUAACAGGUUUGAUCUAUUUGAUUUUGUAGAUUCUCCUAGUUAUAGAAAACAAAAAAAAUUUUAAUAAUUUAUGCCUCUUAAAAUAUGAACUUUUAUGCUGUAUGUCUCAAAAUCAGACUUGGUAUGGUCAGGGUGAGUGCAUUCCAUAUGUAUAUAUAAACGGCAUCACUAGUUUUUCUUGUUAUGUGUUGGUGUUGCUUUCAUUAUUAUUAAAAGGCUAAGACACUAAGGGAA